rnacentral:RNase_P_RNA from 1 species
CCAGCAGGCCACCUUACCGCUGCGGUUUUGGGUAACCAAGGCUGAAGAGGAAAGUCCGGACACCAUAGUGCGGCAUAGCGGGUAACGCCCGUCCGCCGAAAGGCGAGGACCAGUGCAACAGAAAGCAAGUACAGUUCGGCUGUAGUGAAAUCAGGUAAACUCUAUGCGGUGAAACGCCAUGUAAACCAAUGCUUGAGGGCUGCACGCCCAAGUUGGAGGGUAGGCGGUUAGAGCUUUUGGGCAACCAAAAGUCUAGAUAAAUGGUAAGGCUCGACAGAAUCCGGCUUAUGGCCUGCUUUUUUA